rnacentral:lncRNA from 1 species
CCCUCUCUCUUCCUUCUCUUCUCUAUCAAAGCUCUUUCCAUCAAGCCAAUGCCUAAGUUUCUCUCCAAGCUACUGCCCCCAUCUCUCUUUCUUCUUUAUAAGUCUAAGAAAGGUACUAACCCUAGCACGACACCAUAUUCUUUCAUAGAUCCAUUCUCCACAUCCCAAGAAGUCUAAGGGAGGUUCUAACCCUAGCACGCCUUCCAUCAAAUUCAGAAGAGAUUCUAAUCCUAAUACCGCUAUCCUACUCUCUUCUUGAUAGAAAAUAGGGUAGGCAGUAUGUGUCGAUUUUAAAAUUUUGAAAACAUGUAGCGAAAAAUAAAUCAGAUUAAAUCCUUUAACCCCACAUGCAAGAUACCAGAUCUAAACCUAUCCAAGCCCAGAAGAAAGCACAUAUAAUUAAUCUGAAAUUUAAAAAAAAAUAUGAGAUCAUAUCUCAUUACCUUUGCAUGGGUAGAAAUUCAUCGCUUCAGAUGAUCUCAGAUUCAU